AAAAGAAACUAACUAGGAUUCCCAUAGUAACGGCGAGUGAACUGGGAAAAGCCCAGCGCUGAAUCUUUCGAUAUUGUUUAUCGUAAAGAAAUGUAGCGUAUAGGUAUGAUUAUCACGGUUUGUUUAGCAUGUCCAAAGUUCCUUUGAUAGGGGCCACAAAUCCAGAGAGGGUGCGAGACCUGUGCGGACAGUUGAGCAUACCGUUCGAUUAUACCUUGGAGUCGGGUUGCUUGAAAGUGCAGCCUUAAGUGGGUGAUAAACUUCAUCUAAGGCUAAAUACGGACGCGAAUUCGAUAGCAAACAAGUACUGUGAAGGAAAGUUGCAAAGAACUUUGAAGAGAGAGUUCAAGAGAACGUGAAAUCGUUGAAGUGGAACCGGAGAGAGUUGACGUAGUCUGAUGGAUAAGUAUCGCAAAAAUCGCAUACGAUCUACGUGUGUGAUUAGAGUGUUAUGUAUGCCAUCAAUGACUGUGCUGACAGCAUCGAAUACACGUUCUAAACUCCAUACGAACAUGUUGCCCAUUCUAUAUCGUAUAGAUUGGUGUCUUGUGUUCAGGGGUAAAGUUUGUUGURUAUUGAUGUUGAAAAGUAUGCGAAUUGUGUAAUUGUAUGUCAGCGUAAAAGUCAACCACCUCUCCGACCCGUCUUGAAACACGGACCGAGGAGUGUAACUUGUACGCGAGUCAAUAGGUGGUGAAACCUAAAGGCGAAACGAAAGUGAAGGUACGGUUAACCGGCUGACAUGGGAAACACAGUGUGUGUAUGUGCGUUAUGUACAAUGACACGUGCGUUACACCAUGGCCCUGUCUUGUCUGCAUGCAGAUGGGCAGCGGUAGAGCGUACAGGUUGCGACCCGAAAGAUGGUGAACUAUGCCUGAGCAGGACGAAGUCAGAGGAAACUCUGAUGGAAGUCCGUAUCGGUUCUGACGUGCAAAUCGAUCGAUAGACUUGGGUAUAGGGGCGAAAGACUAAUCGAACCAUC
rnacentral:rRNA from 1 species